rnacentral:rRNA from 1 species
UACGAAGGGUGCAAACGUUGCUCGGAAUCAUUGGGCGUAAAGCGCACGUAGGCGGCUUCGCAAGUCGGAUGUGAAAUCCCGUGGCUCAACCAUGGACGUGCAUCCGAAACUGUGAGGCUUGAGUAUGGAAGAGGGUCGCGGAAUUCCCGGUGUAGAGGUGAAAUUCGUAGAUAUUCGGAGGAACACCAGUGGCGAAGGCGGCUCACUGGUCCAUUACUGACGCUGAGGUGCGAAAGCGUGGGGAGCAAACAGG